GAAGAGGCGGGGCCACCGGAGUGCCUAAGAGCUGCCUUCCGAUGUCGCUCUUCCUUUCCCGCGCGACCUGCGAGGGAGGAAGAAGCGCGAAGAGCCGUUAGUUAUGCCGGUGUGGUGUCGGCGGCGGAGACUGCGGGCCCGUAGCUGGGCUCUGCGAGGUGCAAGAAAGCCUUUGAGGUGAAGGUGUAUGAAGGUCAUCAUAACAGAUGUUUUCCAAAAACUUGUAGAAGGUUGUGAAAAAACUACUAGGAUCACGCGGCAUGUAUUGAGCAUAUAGGUUGCUGUAGAUGAAUGUUCUUAGCUGUCAUGUUUAAAAAUACUUCUGCUUCGUUACCUCAAGUGUGGCAUGCAGCAUUUUGGAAGGAAAAUUGAAGACUUGUUCAAGAAAACAUGAACAGAAGCAAAUGAUGAAAAUGAGCAUUUUACUUGAUGUUGAUAACGUCACAAAUUAUGGAGAAAAAUACAUAUUUGGCUAACUUUUAAUUGCUGAACAAUAAAGUGUUUUCUUUUAAAUCAA